ACGGCUCAGUAACACGUGGACAACCUACCCUCAGAUCUGGGAUAAACCUGGGAAACUGGGUAUAAUACCGGAUAGGUCUUGGAUGCUGGAAUGCACCGAGGCCCAAAGCUCCGGCGUCUGAGGAUGGGUCUGCGGCCUAUCAGGGUAGUAGUGGGUGUAAAGUACCUACUAGCCUACGACGGGUACGGGUCGUGAGAGCGAGAGCCCGGAGAUGGAUUCUGAGACACGAAUCCAGGCCCUACGGGGUGCAGCAGGCGCGGAAACUUUACAAUGCCGGCAACGGCGAUAAGGGGACCUCGAGUGCCAGGAUACAAUCCUGGCUGUCGUAAUGCCUAAAAAGCAUUAUAUAGCAAGGGCCGGGCAAGACCGGUGCCAGCCGCCGCGGUAACACCGGCGGCUCGAGUGGUAACCGCUAUUAUUGGGUCUAAAGGGUCUGUAGCCGGCCUGGUAAGUCUUUUGGGAAAUCCGGCAGCUCAACUGUCGGGCUAUCAGAGGAUACUGUUAGGCUCGAGACCGGGAGAGGUGAGAGGUACUUCAUGGGUAGGGGUGAAAUCUUGUAAUCCUUGAAGGACCACCAGUGGCGAAGGCGUCUCACCAGAACGGAUCUGACGGCAAGGGACGAAAGCUAGGGGCACGAACCGGAUUAGAUACCCGGGUAGUCCUAGCCGUAAACGAUACUCGCUAGGUGUCGGCCACGGUGCGACCGUGGUCGGUGCCGUAGGGAAGCCGUGAAGCGAGCCACCUGGGAAGUACGGCCGCAAGGCUGAAACUUAAAGGAAUUGGCGGGGGAGCAC
rnacentral:rRNA from 1 species